CUACGGGUUGCUGCAGUGAGGAAUAUUGCACAAUGGGGGGAACCCUGAUGCAGCAGCGCCGCGUGGAGGAUGACGCAUUUCGGUGUGUAAACUCCUUUUAUAUGUCAAGAAAAUGACGGUAGCAUAUGAAUAAGCACCGGCUAACUCCGUGCCAGCAGCCGCGGUAAUACGGAGGGUGCAAGCGUUACUCGGAAUCACUGGGCGUAAAGGACGCGUAGGCGGGUUGGAAAGUCAGGUGUGAAAUCCUACAGCUUAACUGUAGAACUGCACUUGAAACUUCCAAUCUAGAGUAUGGGAGGGGGAGAUGGAAUUAGUGGUGUAGGGGUAAAAUCCGUAGAUAUCACUAGGAAUACCUAAAGCGAAGGCGAUCUCCUGGAACAUUACUGACGCUAAGGCGUGAAAGCGUGGGGAGCAAACAGGAUUAGAUACCCGGGUAGUC
rnacentral:rRNA from 1 species